CUUCUCUGGUGUGUGAUCAGCUUGGGCUUCAUAUCCUCCUGCGGAGAUCCGCGACGGAGCUGCAAGAGACCAACUGCUGCUAAAGAAACGAUUUGCUGUUGUUAUGGGACAAAUCAGAGACUACAGAGCAGAAGAUUUCAGCACUGCUUCUGCUCUCAAUUUUACAGCUUCGUUGAAGAGAACAAAAUCUUGAGAUGGCUGGUCCCCCAAAGGAGACGGUGCAGGGCACUGAGAGGCUGAUUCGGAUCCAUGAGAUGAGGCGGACCCAACAACUUGAUUUGGGGAUGAAGAUGGCAAACACAAACCAUGCAACGGUUGGCUGGGGAGGGGAGCAACGGUUGGAAGCAGCAACGGCCACUUGCAAUUUAAAAUUUGUUGUCAGAAAUCAACUCUGUUGUUGCCGACAGUAGUACUAGUACCUGGUUGUAACGAUGUACUACUAACACAAUGGCUAAUACCAGGUAGUAAGGAGUCAUUUAAUGCUUAGUACCUGGUUUUUUACAACAUUGUGGAUGCCCUAAAUAUUUAUA